rnacentral:rRNA from 1 species
GAUGAACGCUGGCGGCGUGCCUAAUACAUGCAAGUCGAACGGACAGACAGUGAGCUUUCGCCUCUGACGGUAGCGGCGGACGGGCGAGUGACACGUGGAUAAGCUACCUCUAAUACUGGGAUAACAUCGGAAAACCGGAGCUACUACUGCCGAAUAUAAUGUACCGCAUGGUUCAAUAGAGAAAGACGGCUUUCCUGUCACUAAUAGAUGGAUCCGGGCCGCAUUAGCUAGUUGGUAAGGUAACGGCAUACCAAGGCGACGAUGCGUAGCCGAUCUGAGAGGGUGAUCGGCCACACUGGAACUGAGACACGGUCCAGACUCCUACGGGAGGCAGCAGUAGGGAAUAUUCGGCAAUGGGCGAAAGCUUGACGGAGCAAUACCGCGUGAGUGAUGAAGGUCUUCGGGUCGUAAAACCCUGUUGUUAGGGAAGAAAAAAUGCGGAAGAAACCAUGGCCGUUCUGACGGUACCUAAACAGAAAGCAACGGCUAACUACGUG